CCUCCUCCUCGCCGCCGCCAUUCCAAAUCCUCUCGGGAUCCUGGCCAAAUCCACUUAGUUUUUUCCCCAUCCACCCAAAUGGCAGCCUCCACCUCCCCUCCCGAUUCACCUCCAUCGAUCCCAACACCACCAAGCCACCCCGACGGACCUCGCUGGAGCUCCUUCCUUUUCCCCCUCUGCCCGAGCGCGCCCGUCCUCGCAGCCCCGCCGUGCCAGCUUCAACGCCCGCCUCCUCGACUACCUCGCGACGGCGACCUCGACAAGCUGCCGCCACCGGUGACCGAACCAGCAGCAACAUCGUCUCUCCUCCUCCGCUACCCCGAGCGUCCCUCUUGAGGCCCUGCUUCCUUGCGCUCCGUCGUCACCCCGCUCGUCCAAGCCUCCUAUGUUCUCCGUUAUGGAUGCUGUCAUCCGAGCUCCUCAAGCCGACACCGUCCAGGGUCCCAACGACCUCGCCGUCCUGGCCUCCUCUGCCGUGCUGGUGAGCGCGACGCUGGAGCAUCGCAGGUUGCCGUGCCUCUGCCCAUCCUUCUCCUCCUCUCAUUCCCUCGCGUCUGUCUCUCCCUCUAAUUUCUCUCUUAUGCCCAGGGAGGCACCACCCGUGUCGCCGGAUUUCGCUGCCUUAGCCUCGGAUCCGUCCAUCUUCUCCGUUCCUCGCCUCUCCGCCUCCUGCCGUCCCUGUUGCCAUUGGACUGCGCCGCUGCAGGAGGUCGCCCCGUCAUGGCCUUGCCUCCGGCCAGAACCACCUGCCCUCGAUGCCUCUUGCUUGGAUCCAGCCGUCCCCGAAGCCAAGUGCCGCCGAUGACCUCCAUCUCCCUGCAUCGCACCUAGGCCCGCGCCACCUCCUUGUUUCGCUCUUGCACGAGCAAGACGACGGGCGCCUGAUCGAUCCGGAUGCACCGGUUGACCGCGAGGUCGACUGGGCCACGACCAUGUCGUGGCUGCAAGGCCCAGCGCCCUCCUCUACUUUGCCAUCGCCGUGGGCCGCCAGAUUCGCCGGCCUGUUCCACUGACUGGGCCUUGGCCCAUGGUGACGCAACCGAGCUCAAGGAGGAGCUCGAUGAAGAACGUGUUCGUUGUGAUGUUCCGUUUCAGUUGAUCAGCAGAGGAGCCCAGUUGGGGCGAUCGGGGAUCUAGCAUGAGGGGUUGUCUUCUUUUAUUUUGGUUCUAUAGUCGGACCUUGAUUGUAUUCUGGAUGAUGUAAUGCUAUAUUUAUGUAUUGU